CCUACGGGUGGCAGCAGUGGGGAAUAUUGGACAAUGGGGGCAACCCUGAUCCAGCCAUGCCGCGUGUGUGAAGAAGGCCCUCGGGUUGUAAAGCACUUUCAGUGAGGAAGAACGCCUGGUGGUUAAUACCCAUCAGGAAAGACAUCACUCACAGAAGAAGCACCGGCUAACUCCGUGCCAGCAGCCGCGGUAAUACGGAGGGUGCGAGCGUUAAUCGGAAUUACUGGGCGUAAAGCGCGCGUAGGUGGCUUGAUAAGCCGGUUGUGAAAGCCCCGGGCUCAACCUGGGAACGGCAUCCGGAACUGUCAAGCUAGAGUGCAGGAGAGGAAGGUAGAAUUCCCGGUGUAGCGGUGAAAGGCGUAGAGAUCGGGAGGAAUACCAGUGGCGAAGGCGGCCUUCUGGACUGACACUGACACUGAGGUGCGAAAGCGUGGGUAGCAAACAGGAUUAGAUACCCCAGUAGUC
rnacentral:rRNA from 1 species